rnacentral:rRNA from 1 species
AGCGAACGCUGGCGGCAGGCUUAACACAUGCAAGUCGAGCGGGCAUCUUCGGGUGUCAGCGGCGGACGGGUGAGUAACGCGUGGGAACGUGCCUUCUGGUUCGGAAUAACUCAGGGAAACUUGGGCUAAUACCGGAUACGCCCUUUUGGGGAAAGGUUUACUGCCGGAAGAUCGGCCCGCGUCUGAUUAGCUAGUUGGUGGGGUAACGGCCUACCAAGGCGACGAUCAGUAGCUGGUCUGAGAGGAUGAUCAGCCACACUGGGACUGAGACACGGCACAGACUCCUACGGGAGGCAGCAGUGGGGAAUAUUGGACAAUGGGGGCAACCCUGAUCCAGCCAUGCCGCGUGAGUGAUGAAGGCCUUAGGGUUGUAAAGCUCUUUUAUCCGGGACGAUAAUGACGGUACCGGAGGAAUAAGCCCCGGCUAACUUCGUGCCAGCCGCCGCGGUAA